GACGAACGCUGGCGGCGUGCUUAACACAUGCAAGUCGAGCGGUAAGGCCCUUUCGGGGAUACACGAGCGGCGAACGGGUGAGUAACACGUGGGUGACCUGCCCUCAGCUCUGGGAUAAGCCUGGGAAACCGGGUCUAAUACCGGAUAUGACUCCAUGACGCAUGUUGUGGGGUGGAAAGCCUUGUGCGGCUGAGGAUGGGCCCGCGGCCUAUCAGCUUGUUGGUGGGGNGAUGGCCUACCAAGGCGACGACGGGUAGCCGGCCUGAGAGGGCGACCGGCCACACUGGGACUGAGACACGGCCCAGACUCCUACGGGAGGCAGCAGUGGGGAAUCUUGCGCAAUGGGCGAAAGCCUGACGCAGCGACGCCGCGUGAGGGAUGACGGCCUGGUGU
rnacentral:rRNA from 1 species